CGCGGCCUAUCAGCUUGUUGGUGGGGUAAUGGCCUACCAAGGCGACGACGGGUAGCCGGCCUGAGAGGGCGACCGGCCACACUGGGACUGAGACACGGCCCAGACUCCUACGGGAGGCAGCAGUGGGGAAUAUUGCGCAAUGGGCGGAAGCCUGACGCAGCGACGCCGCGUGAGGGAUGAAGGCCUUCGGGUCGUAAACCUCUUUCAGUAGGGAAGAAGCGUGAGUGACGGUACCUGCAGAAGAAGCACCGGCUAACUACGUGCCAGCAGCCGCGGUAAUACGUAGGGUGCAAGCGUUGUCCGGAAUUAUUGGGCGUAAAGAGCUCGUAGGCGGUCUGUCGCGUCUGCUGUGAAAACUCAGGGCUUAACCCUGAGCUUGCAGUGGGUACGGGCAGACUAGAGUGCGGUAGGGGAGACUGGAAUUCCUGGUGUAGCGGUGAAAUGCGCAGAUAUCAGGAGGAACACCGGUGGCGAAGGCGGGUCUCUGGGCCGUAACUGACGCUGAGGAGCGAAAGCAUGGGGAGCGAACAGGAUUAGAUACCCUGGUAGUCCAUGCCGUAAACGUUGGGCGCUAGGUGUGGGGACCUUUCCAUGGUUUCCGUGCCGCAGCUAACGCAUUAAGCGCCCCGCCUGGGGAGUACGG
rnacentral:rRNA from 1 species